AAGAGGGCCAUUUGUAUCACUGUGUGACUCCAUUCCUCAACUCCUUUCUCCAAGCCAAUAACUUUUGGCAGCUGGAUGACUCCUGACCUGAAAGCUUGUGACUUUUUCCUUGAGGCUGAGACAGAGCUGUGACUGUUGUAAAACUCCUGCCACCCACAGCUCAGCAAAAUCUCAGGCGCCAUUGUAGAGCAGCCAUUGAAUCAACACAGAGAGGCGGCAGCGUGCCUCUGACUCACCAGGAACCCAGCUCCUCACUGUUCCGCCUGCAAACAGACCUCAAAGCUCCUUGUUCCUUGCUUUGUGCUGCUGAACGCAAGUGGGACCCAGGGAAGGCCACAGAUGCUCUCUGGAAGUACAAUAGCUAUUUUCCUGGUCUGCAUCUGAGGUAGACACGGAAGGAUCAGAGGGACUCAGGGCAUUGCCCUCAGGGGAGUUCUUGGUGCUCAAUGCCUGCAUACCUCACUUAUGCCAUGAAGGUAUUCCUUAAAGGAAAUGAUAAAAAUAUCACUUUGAUGAGGAAUCGAAAAUUAACCAACUCGAUAAGUGGAAUACCCAGGAUUCCCCAAACGGACUGGCUUCAAGAAGGGUAUCCUUUUUACCACACCACACUGCCUUAUUAGACCAUUUCCAAAUUAAUUAUGGCACUUAGAGUUCAUAUUCCAUAGGAAUACAUUCAUAUAAUUGUACCUUUUCUCUUACUUCUCAGGGACUAAAAUAAAAGUAGGGUAUAAAUUGUUUUACUUUUAUACUCUACGUAUCCAGAGGUUGCAGAUGGGCAGCCCACAGGGCGCCUUGUUUUGCUUGACUAGAAUGCUGUUGAUCCACUUGGUAUUUUAAUAAAUUUUGAAUAAGUUGCCAACAUUUAAACAAUUAGAAGAUUUUUCUUGAAAUGUUUUGAUUUCCAGCUGCCUUUGACAGCAAAGAGCUGAUGUCCUCACCAGGUAGACAGCCCCUAAAUCAGAGGACUGUGCCCUCUCAGUUAAUUAAAGCCUCCACAUCUUCCUGUUGUAUUCCCAGCACUGAAAUCAAAGAGUAGUAGCUUUUUACCACCAUGUGUUUACUGAUAUUUUUCUUAGUGUAAAAAGAAGAGGAAAAUGAACUUGUG
rnacentral:lncRNA from 1 species